AUGGAGCAGAUGACUUCGAAGAGCGGCAGCAACUGGAUCAUGACUUGGGGCGAGGAAUCCAUGGUGGUCAUUCUCGUCCACCACGACGGCUCUCCCCUUCGCUCGGCCAUUGCAUCGGCAACUCCCCAGCGCUUAUCUACGGCGCCGGUCGCCUCCACCACCACAGCGCCCCUCCCCGCGCUCCCACCACGCCGCCACACAGAUCCAACUCCCCAUCGCUGUCGCCCCUGUCAAUCCCCAUCGAUCUCGAUCUGGAAAAAAAUUGUGAGGGAUGCGGCGGAUCCUGUCGAUCUUGUGUGCAUUCGGGGGCCGGGGAGCGAGGACGGGCACCGCGGAGCAAGGGAUGGAGGCGCGGUGGCGGAGGGACCGUCGUUCUCGCAGAGCAGGGGGUGGGGCGCAGCGGCGGAGGAACCCUCGUUCUCCUGUGGGCAGCAAUUUUAA
rnacentral:rRNA from 1 species